GACGUAGGAGGCGAGCGUUGUCCGGAUUCAUUGGGCGUAAAGAGCGCGCAGGCGGCUUGGUAAGUCGGAUGUGAAAUCCCGAGGCUCAACCUCGGGUCUGCAUCCGAUACUGCCCGGCUAGAGGUAGGUAGGGGAGAUCGGAAUUCCUGGUGUAGCGGUGAAAUGCGCAGAUAUCAGGAGGAACACCGAUAGCGAAGGCAGCUCGCUGGGACGGUACUGACGCUGAGGCGCGAAGGCGUGGGGAGCGAACAGG
rnacentral:rRNA from 1 species